UCGGGAAUAUUGCACAAUGGAGGAAACUCUGAUGCAGUGACGCCGCGUAUAGGAAGAAGGUCUUUGGAUUGUAAACUAUUGUCGACAGGGAAGAAACGAAUGACAGUACCUGUGGAGGAAGCCCCGGCAAACUACGUGCCAGCAGCCGCGGUAAUACGUAGGGGGCGAGCGUUAUCCGGAUUUAUUGGGUGUAAAGGGUGCGUAGACGGUUAUGCAAGUUGGUUGUGAAAUCCCGAGGCUCAACUUCGGAACUGCAACCAAAACUGUGUAACUCGAGUGCGGGAGAGGAAAGCGGAAUUCCUAGUGUAGCGGUGAAAUGCGUAGAUAUUAGGAGGAACACCAGUGGCGAAGGCGGCUUUCUGGACCGUAACUGACGUUGAGGCACGAAAGUGUGGGGAGCAAACAGG
rnacentral:rRNA from 1 species